rnacentral:lncRNA from 1 species
GACAACAUCUGAAAAUUCUGCCUGAUAGAUAGAGAGAAGCAUCCUGGCAAGAGACACGGAGCUGACAGACGAAGAGAUGCACGUCUGACAGAAUUGGGACUAUUCACCCAAAGUGAGACAAAGUGAAAUGCCAAGCACAUUGAGAAUCUCUUCCUUCUUACUGUCAACGGAUUCACCUAAUCAAAGCACUUUUAGUCACUGCAUCCAAUUUCCAUCCUCAUCCAACACAUGGUCUGGGAAUUCAGCCAAAAAUUCCUGAAGGAUGAAUUCCUUUUCCUCGGUGAGGUUGACAUUUGAGCACACAUCGCCCUCUUGUGUCUACGACACAUUUGGCAACGUAGUUUCCAGCACCUGCUAAUGCACACAGCAAAUUGAAGCCUUGUUAACAUCCCUUAAGCCUGCAGACCUCGGUACAAGGCGGAGGGAGAACAAACGCACCAAUUUUCCCAGAAUAGUCAAGAACAUCCAGAAGAAUCCAGAAUUUGUGAAGAUGGUACUGGUGGACCUUACCUUCCGAAAACUGCUAUCAGGGCCUCUGCAGGAGGCCCUGGCUGUGAUAAAUGUGCAUCUGUAGAGUGCACAACCUGAACAUCCUUACCAAGCAGCCCUGACCAAUAUCUUCCUGCCUAAAGAGUGCCAAUGCUGAGAGUAUGCCUUUAAAACCCCAUUUUGGCCAUUUCUCAAGAAGUAAGUGAGACUUGUACUUCCCUAUCUCCCCUUAAGGGGAGUCCCCAGUGCAUUAGUGGUAGAGCUCUCCCUAAGGACUUUUGUGUGCGUCUCCACCCUCUGUUCUUCUAGGUGCAUCCUGUUUUUAAUGGGGCAUAAUCUCUUACCUCAAAAGAGCAAAGCUCCACUGGCAAACCUCUAGACCACAUUAGUGAUCAGCAAGUAAGGGGGACAUUUGGUGCAGCAUCACAUUUCUGACAUCCCUUCAUGCUUUUUAUGUCUGACUCUGUCAUCUCUGCUAAAAGAAGCCUCUCUUUUUAUUUCCUUUUUUUCUUCUAGUUUUUUUUUUUGUUUUUUUUUUUUUUUUGUAGACAGGGCCUAGUGGUCUUCCUAGGCUGGUCUCAAACUUCUGGACUCAAGGGAUAUUCCCACCUCAGCCUCCCAAACUGUUGGGAUUACAGGCGUGAGCCAUUGGGCCCGGUCCUCUUUUUUU